rnacentral:rRNA from 1 species
GAGACUCUGUGCGCGUGCAUAUCAAUAAGCGGAGGAAAAGAAACUAACAAGGAUUCCCCUAGUAACGGCGAGUGAAGCGGGAAGAGCUCAAAUUUGAAAUCUUGAAGGGUUUCCCUUUACGAAUUGUAGUUUAAAGAAGUGUUUUCUGUUGGAGUUUCGGUAAAAGUUCUUUGGAAUAGGACAUCAUAGAGGGUGAGAAUCCCGUAUUUGACCGUUACUUUCCAGCUGUGUGAUACACUUUCAAAGAGUCGGAUUGUUUGGGAAUGCAGCCCAAAAUGGGUGGUAAAUUUCAUCUAAAGCUAAAUAUUGGCGAGAGACCGAUAGCGAACAAGUACCGUGAGGGAAAGAUGAAAAGAACUUUGAAAAGAGAGUUAAACAGUACGUGAAAUUGUCAAAAGGGAAGCGUUUGACACCAGUGUUGUUUAGUUGAAAAUCAAUUCAAUAAUUUGUGAUUUUGAGUAGUAUUGACUUUAUCAGCUUGCUGCUUUCUUUUCAGAAAUUAUUGAAUGCACUUUUCAGUUAACAAGUCAACAUCAAUUUCUUUUGUUGUAAAAGGGUAAUGAGGAAGGUGGCUUACGCUUUCGGAGUAAAGUGUUUAUAGCCUUUUACCUCUGCAAUCGGAGAGAUUGAGGACAGCAGCGUAGACUCCUUCGGGGGUUAGAUACACUUGUGCUAAGCUAUAGCCUUGUAUAGACAACUUGUUGACUAUGCUCAGUCAUGUAGCUUACUCGCUUGUGCUAUUUUACCUACGCUUAGGAUGUUGACAGCAGUAUAGACUGU